rnacentral:rRNA from 1 species
AUUGAACGCUGGCGGCAGGCCUAACACAUGCAAGUCGAACGGUAACAGGAAGCAGCUUGCUGCUUCGCUGACGAGUGGCGGACGGGUGAGUAAUGUCUGGGAAGCUGCCUGAUGGAGGGGGAUAACUACUGGAAACGGUAGCUAAUACCGCAUAAUGUCGCAAGACCAAAGAGGGGGACCUUCGGGCCUCUUGCCAUCGGAUGUGCCCAGAUGGGAUUAGCUUGUUGGUGGGGUAACGGCUCACCAAGGCGACGAUCCCUAGCUGGUCUGAGAGGAUGACCAGACACACUGGAACUGAGACACGGUCCAGACUCCUACGGGAGGCAGCAGUGGGGAAUAUUGCACAGUGGGCGCAAGCCUGAUGCAGCCAUGCCGCGUGUAUGAAGAAGGCCUUCGGGUUGUAAAGUACUUUCAGCGGGGAGGAAGGGAGUAAAGUUAAUACCUUUGCUCAUUGACGUUACCCGCAGAAGAAGCACCGGCUAACUCCGUG